rnacentral:piRNA from 1 species
UCAUUCAUUCAUGUGUGAUGUGUGUGUC